CCUGAAGAUCGUCGUGCGGCUGAUCACGUUUGACGUCGAUGAAGAGACCGGCGUCCAGUCAAUCCGGGAUAUCAAGGAGCAGGAAGUCUUCUUCGGCUCCCUGCCGCUGAUGACUGCGGAUGGUGUUUACGUGGUUAAUGGCACCGAGCGCGUUAUCGUAUCCCAGCUGCAGCGUUCGCCAGGCCUGUUUUACACCCAUGACCAGGGCAAGAGCCACGCCAGCGGGAAGCUGCUCUAUUCGGCACGCAUCAUACCGGUGCGCGGAUCCUGGAUCGAUCUUGAAUUUGACAUCAAGGAUGUCCUCCAUGUUCGCAUCGACAGGCGUCGGAAGUUUCCGGUAACCACGCUGCUGAAGGCGCUUGGCUACACGGGUCCGGAACUGCUCGAGGCGUUUUAUCCG
rnacentral:rRNA from 1 species